AAAAAUGAUUAUUAAAAGCUUCUAACUUUUAUAUUUGCAAUAGUUUGUAACAUUUUUC
rnacentral:tRNA from 1 species